GACGAACGCUGGCGGCGUGCCUAAUACAUGCAAGUAGAACGCACAGUUUAUACCGUAGCUUGCUACACCAUAGACUGUGAGUUGCGAACGGGUGAGUAACGCGUAGGUAACCUGCCUGGUAGCGGGGGAUAACUAUUGGAAACGAUAGCUAAUACCGCAUAAUAUUGAUUAUUGCAUGAUAAUUAAUUGAAAGGUGCAAUUGCACCACUACCAGAUGGACCUGCGUUGUAUUAGCUAGUAGGUGAGGUAACGGCUCACCUAGGCGACGAUACAUAGCCGACCUGGGAGGGUGAUCGGCCACACUGGGACUGAGACACGGCCCAGACUCCUACGGGAGGCAGCAGUAGGGAAUCUUCGGCAAUGGACGAAAGUCUGACCGAGCAACGCCGCGUGAGUGAAGAAGGUUUUCGGAUCGUAAAGCUCUGUUGUAAGAGAAGAACGGGUGUGAGAGUGGAAAGUUCACACUGUGACGGUAUCUUACCAGAAAGAGACGGCUAACUACGUG
rnacentral:rRNA from 1 species